CUUUCCCUUCCCACAUUAGAACAAACUCCAGAAUCACACCCAGCGCACUCCAAAGGUUGGCAUCAUUUUCCCGGCAUAGCUUUCAGUUGGCCGAUCGUCACCCCGGCAUCCACUCCCAUUGCUAAUUAUUAUAUGAAAAGUUCUUAAGUAAUAAAUUCAGCGAUGACAAGUUGCUAGUUUGACGCCAAAAGGGUAGGGGUACACAUUCUUAACUGUCCUGGGCUCCGAUUAGGGUAGGGUAGGAAAGGCUCAGAUAGGUUAGGUUAGGUAAGGCUAGGGUAGGUUAGGUUAGGUUAGGUUAGGUAAGGCUAGGUCAGGGUAGGUUAGGUUAGGUUAGGUUAGGUAAGGCUAGGGUAGGUUAGGUUAGGUUAGGUAAGGCUAGGGUAGGUUAGGUAAGGCUAGGGUAGGUUAGGUUAAGUUACGUAAGGCUUGGAUAGGUUAGGUUAGGUUAGGUAAGGCUUGGAUAGGGUAGAUUAGGUAAGGCUUGGAUAGGACAGGUUAGGUAAGGCCAGGGUAGGAUAGGUUAGGUAAGGCUAGUGUAGGUUAGGUUAGGGUAAGUUAGGUUAGAUUAGUUCCGGCUAGGUAAGGCUGGAUUAGUUUAGGGUAAGGCAAAGUUAUGUAAGGAUAGGUUAGUUUAGGGUAAGGCUAGGUUAGGUAAGGAUGGGUUAGUUUAGGUAAGGCAAGGCCAGGUUAGGUCAAAUUAGGUAAAGCUAUGUCAGCUUAGGUUAGGUAAGGCUUGGAUGGGUUAGAAUGGGUAAGGCUAGGAUAGGUUAGGUUAGUUUAGGGGGAUUAUUGAACAGAGGGUAGCCAACUAAUUUUGAGACACUGCUUAUUUCAGGACAAAACAUGAUGCUUUUUAUUAGACGCUAUUUUUUUUCAGGAAAUCACUAAAUGACGGACUUUUCAAUGCCUGAGGUGCACCCGCCACUGCCCCGCUCCCACCCGUUCCACUGGCCUAAUCGGCCACUUUGCCAAUUAAUCGGGAAUCGGCCUUUUGAGCAAGUAAUCGGGGCCGAUUAGUAACAUUUUUUCUCUCUUUUAUAAUACAAUGUACAUAAGACAAUAUUAAUAAUGUUAAUGUAAGGAUGGUGAUGUUACCAAAACUCUGAUACCUUUCCACAGCAUUUAUUUCAAACAAGUCCCUAUGCAAAUGUAUAUUAGGUAAUUCAAAUUGAUAUAUAAAAUUAUGAUAUGAACUGAAGUACCGGUAUUUGCUUCAACCUUGAAACUAAAAAAAAAUCAACAUAUUACUUUAUAUGUGUGUUAUGCACCUGAAAGGUUCCCUGUGCAUUAGUAUCCAGAUCCAGAAAUUACAGCCAAGAAAAAUCAUAGACCUAUUUCAACUUGCUUAGCACAGUAAUUGAGUAACAUCCUUCACCAAGCCUGCCGUGCACAAGUUAUUGUGAUAUAUCAUGAAAAGUAUGGAACUAGACAAGUGAUUUUUCUCAGUACUUUAAAUUAAACACUCUUAAAAUGUAAUGUAAAAACAUUAAUUAAUAUCCUUCACCAAGCCUGCCGUGCAUAAGGACACAAGUUAUUGUAAUACCUAUAUAUAUCAUGAAAAGUAUGGAACCAGACAAGUGAUUCUACUCAGUACUUUUAGAAGUAAGCAAACACAGCGUAACAGACAGUAAAUUAGUAGAAGACUCAAGAGAUUGAUAAACUUUCUGUACACUACCGUCAACCAGGGUGACUUCAGACAGUUUUCAAGGUUUUUUGCUUAUGAAAUUUUUGUUUCUAGGCCUAGGUUCUAUGUGCAUUUACUCUGUACUGUUAAGGGCUAUCAUUACAUGGUGCAACAUUUUCACGAAACUUAAGUUUUUAUGCUAAGUGAAAAAAUAUGUGUGUCCGAAGUCACCCCAUGUCUGGGGGGACUUCAGACACCCUUGGGGGGACUUUGGACAGUGGCUACAUUUCAUUGUGUUUACGUAUCUGAGCCUGUUUGCACAUUCCAGGGGUGACUUCGGACACUGUUGAACCGUGUAAAAAAUUGGCAGAAAUCUUGGGAAAGAAGUUCCCUCCUUUGAGGCCAGUAAUAAUAACAGCAGCAGGGAAGUUAAAAAAUGGACAAUAAUUUUGAAAAAAAUGUUAUUACAAAAAAAACUAAGAUGUAGAACACAGUUUAAGUUUUCUUUUUAGAAGCUCAAUGAUUCAUAAUCACAAGAAGUUUUUAUAAUGGCUGGGCAACAUCCAUGUGUGUUAGGGCUCUUGGAAGUGCACACUAUUUUACAUUUCAUGUAUCAGAUUUUAUCAUGAUGCAUUUCACUAGAAAUUUAUUCUUGUAUAUGUUAUUUUGUAGCCAAGUACUUCUACUUCAUAUUUUCAUGAUGUGUAGAAUAUCCAACAUCACUGGCCUGGCACCACCACUGCCAUUAUGGACCCAAAAGUUAACGAGUUCAUCUCUGGACGGGCUCCACACGGGGCCCGGGCUCCGCUGAUGACGCCACUGACGGUCAAUGGAUCCAUGAAAACGGAAUGGUGGGAACCCCACCUUAGUCACCCCACAAUGUGUAGUUAUAUUUAGGUGUCCAAAGUCACCCCAUUUUGAGCCAUUUUUCGACAUGCCUCCAUUCAGGUGACAUUUACAGGUGUGUAGGACAUGUUAAGCACCCUGAAUCAUGCUAACUGUUCUAGUUAAGCAUGUUUCUCAUUGUUUUCUCUAGUUUUGAUGUUGUGUGUAAUGCAGAUCAUUCCUGCCAGAAGAAGUUUUCCAGGGGGGGUAAAUUUUACGAAAUCUCAAAAACACAUUGUGCUUGUUUUCAAAACAGAAACAUGUCUCAAGAAAACAACAUUCUUGUUCGAAAACUAUAAGGCAAGAGACAAAUUCUGACACUACAGUAUUCCAGCUUGUUGCAACUGGCUACGAGUUAUCAACAUGUCAACUUUUUAUCCUCUUUUAGUCUGAAGUCACCCCGGUUGACAGUACCAUUUCUAGUGGCAUCCAGGAUCACCACAAGAACGAGAAAACUGGCAAAUUCUAACAUAUUAAAACCAGGAUGUUUCCACAACGCAAGGCUAAAUUAUAAGUAACAAAUUACUAGAAGUAUUUGCUCUCCACACAGGAGAUGACAGUUGGGCAGUAAACAAAGUUGUAAACAAGAGGGUUACGGUAUGUCUUUAACUUUGUGCUACCAGUGUCCAGUAAUUAAUGAAGAUUAAUCACAUUUACAAUUUCUAAAUAAUCGGCCGAUUAAUCGGUAUCGACCGAUUAUAGGUUACCGAUUAAUCGGUAAUCGGCCAAAUUGCUUAUCGGUGCAACCCUAGUUAGUUUAGGUAAGGCUUGGAUAGGUUAGUUUGGGUAAGGCUAUGAUAGUUUAAAUAAAGUAAGGCCAGGUAGGGUAAGG